GAUGAACGCUGGCGGCGUGCCUAAUACAUGCAAGUCGAGCGAACAGACGAGGAGCUUGCUCCUCUGACGUUAUCGGCGGUCGGGUGAUUAACACGUGGAUAACCUACCUAUAAGACUGGGAUAACUUCGGGAAACCGGCGCUAAUACCGGAUAAUAUAUUUAACCGCAUUUUUCAAUAGUGAAAGCCGGUUUUGCUGUCCCUUAUAGAUGGAUCCGCGCCGCAUUAGCUAGUUGGUAAGGUAAAGGCUUACCAAGGCAACUAUGCGUACCCGACAUGAGAGGGUGAUAGGGCACACUUGAAAUGAGAAACGGUCCAGACUGCUGCAGGAGGAAGCGGUAGGGAAACUUCCGCAAAGGGAGAAAGAGUAACGGAGAAAAGACGCGUGAGUGAUGAAAAUCAUCGGAUCGGAAAAAUAGGUAAUUAGGGAAGAACAAAUAUGUAAGUAAUAAGGCAAGUAUUGACGGUACCUAAUCAGAAAGACACGGCUAACUACGUG
rnacentral:rRNA from 1 species